rnacentral:rRNA from 1 species
UACAGAGGUGGCAAGCGUUGUUCGGAAUUACUGGGCGUAAAGCGUGCGCAGGCGGUUUUGUAAGUCAGAUGUGAAAUCCCCGGGCUUAACCUGGGAACUGCGUUUGAAACUACAAGGCUAGAGUGUGGCAGAGGGGGGUGGAAUUCCACGUGUAGCAGUGAAAUGCGUAGAGAUGUGGAGGAACACCGAUGGCGAAGGCAGCCCCCUGGGUUAACACUGACGCUCAGGCACGAAAGCGUGGGGAGCAAACAGG